GGGGGCGCGGAGGAGACGAGUGCAAUUUCCUUCUGCACCGUAAUCUUUGUAUUGGAGACGCCGGAGAGGAAAACGGGACCUGACGCUCCGCCUGGCGCGAUUCCUCCUUCUCCUCCUCCUCAGCCAAAGGCGCCGGUCGCUCCUGCCUUCGAGAGCGAGCUUCGGAAAGGAGGAUGAACGAGGCCGGCUCUUCCUCACCCCGCUGCUCCCGCGACCGGGCGGGAGAGGGCCGCAGGCGGCGGCGGCUCCUUUCUCCGCGGCGUUGGUGGCCAGACGGGCUGGUGCAGCGACUGCAGCCGACGCCGUUCAAAGGAACGAGUGCAGUUGCUGCCAUGCGGUCCCCUCGCCCUUCCACGGGCAGGGGCGAGGCGGCCGGGCAGAUGUUGCAGCUGUUUCCAGUUAACUGCCUGAGCUCCUCUGGGCUAGGCUCUUCUCUAACGAGGAGUGGUUGCAAUCCAUCCUUAACUGGAGGACAGAAGCAGGCCGGCCCUGUAAUCGACUGACCUCAACAGGUGUCUCCAAGCAGCGACGCCUUUUUCGUUCAUCGUCCUGGCUAUAUCCCCCAUUGGUUUGACUCAGGAGGCAAGGUGGUCCGGACAUGUGAGCAACACAAAUGAUAAGAAUGCCUUUUAGGGCUAGAAAAGAAAAAGCCAUCCGAAAUUCCAGUUUUAAAAUACACACACACACACACGUUACAUUUCAUGGGUCCAAAUGUAGUUCUACAGAAGCAAUGUUAGGUUUGAUUGGGGGCAAUUUACUGGCGGUUACUUUCUUGGUAUUUCAUGUCAAAACCUAGUUCUAAGCGUUUCUUACCAAUAAUCGAGAAUGUAAGUCUUUCCCAGGAAUUUAAAAAUGAUAAAGCAAGCCGAAAAACUGUAGGGAGGAAUUUUCAUUUUGUUAAAUUUAGGUUGUUAGGGGAAUCAACGCUUAUGGUUAGACCUCUGAUUCAGGAAGUCUCAAGGAUUUACAUUCCUAUUUCAGAAGAUUGUUAAAGCAAAAACGAUUGUCAUUUGCAGUUUUGAUACACCUCUAGUUGUCAGUUCAACUUUUUACCUUUAGUUUUCUCUGAACUCUUCCCCUUGUUCCAAGGGGAAGCUUUCAAAAAGUGAAUUAUGUCACCAUUUGCAUGUUAUUGAAUAGAAGUGCACUCUUAACAUCCCAUUUAUCCAGUGUCAAAGCUAUGAUACAUUGUUGCUUUAUGUGGGGUCUCCCACACUGAAAAGAAAAACCCGGACUUCAUUUAUUUAUUUAUUUAUUUAUU
rnacentral:lncRNA from 1 species